CCCUGGUUAGCUCAGUUGGUAGAGCGCUCCACUGGAAAUGGAGAGAUCCCUGGUUCGAUACCCGGACCAGGCG
rfam:Ixodes scapularis strain Wikel colony gcontig_1108379129156, whole genome shotgun sequence.